GUGUCAGCCGCCGCGGUAAUACGGAGGGUGCGAGCGUUAAUCGGAAUUACUGGGCGUAAAGGGCGCGUAGGCGGUCGCGCAAGUCGGGUGUGAAAGCCCCGGGCUCAACCUGGGAAUUGCAUUCGAUACUGCGUAACUAGAGUCUGGUAGAGGGAAGCGGAAUUCCGCAUGUAGCGGUGAAAUGCGUAGAUAUGCGGAGGAACACCAGUGGCGAAGGCGGCUUCCUGGACCAAGACUGACGCUGAGGCGCGAAAGCGUGGGGAGCAAACAGGAUUAGAUACCCUGGUAGUCCACGCCCUAAACGAUGAGGACUAGACGUUGGGGGGAUAAAACCCUUUAGUGUCGCAGCUAACGCGUGAAGUCCUCCGCCUGGGGAGUACGGCCGCAAGGUUGAAACUUAAAUGAAUUGACGG
rnacentral:rRNA from 1 species